CUCGUUCCCAUAACAGUUUCACUUGCCAAAUAGUUCAAAAAAAUAAAUUACGUCAUAGUAUUGAAUCCACCGACUAAAAAUUAUAUCGCAAAUAAAAAUCGACCUUCGAAAUUUACUACCGCCUGUUCCUGGCGUAAAUAUUUGUCUCAUGCAAAAAUUCGGUAUAAACACCUCUAGAGGUUGUAAAAAGUUAAUGGCUCGCUUAAAAUAGCUCAACAAUAAUUAAUUACUGCUUUAUAAUACAUUUCUUAAGCUUGUUUUCGUUAACACUGUUUUGGGUGAUUGCAUGAUGCGCCACGCCACAAGGACCAAAUAUUAACAAACAACACUUGCUUGGAUUUAGAUAAAGAGAAUGCUAUCAGUGGAUUGGGAGAAGAGAGCCAAUGGAAUAGCCGGCGAGAUCACCAGAUCUAACUUUUUUCUCUGGGGUCACUUAAAAACUGUUAUGUUUAAAACGAAACUAGCUUCACUCGAUGGUGUUCGGCAACGAAUUUUUACAGAAUGUGUAUCUAUUCCAAGAGAAGUGUUUCAUGUUAGAAAUUAAUUUGAAAAUAAAUAAUUCUUUUGUUUAGACUAAAAUAAUCUAGAAUUUAAGCAUCUUAUUAGUGAACACUUUAUAAAAACAGCCUUCCAUACAUUUCCUUGACCCUGUGUAAAAUUAGGAAAGAUUCUUGUGCAGGUGAAUACUAUUUUAAAAGUUCUUAAUUUAAGAUAUAACAAAGGGGGUGAAGCCAUUUAAAAUUCUGGGAUUGGGGUCCAUCCAGCCCAAGGGGUGACUCAGCCUAUAACCAAAAUAUAGUUGUUGCAGUUCUCCCUACCUGUAUAACAUUUGAAUCGGUGAGUUUGAAAACCGUACAAGUCCAAAAUUUGACAUUUGUAAGUAAGACAACCAUUUUGUUUAAAAUUUGUCUUUUCAUCGAUUGAACUUCAAAACCGUACUAGAUACUUAGUCGUUAACGUAGCACGGCUGCUAGUGAGGAGAAAAACCGUACAUGUCAAUGUUGUACGGUUUUUCAGCUCAACAACAAAAUAGUGGCCAGUUGCUUAUUUGCACGCACAGCGUUCACUUCGUGUGUAUGUUUAUCAUAAAAAAUAGCUUAGUAGCAGCGUUUUAUUAACAAUUUAAAGUAAAAUUAUGUCAUCCAGUGAUAAUGAAGAAGUUAGUGACACUAGUAGUGCCAGCAGAAAAAGGAAAAGGAAUGUUGAUCGUUGGAAAUAUAAUGCAAUAAAAACAGCACGUUCGCAAGGUCAGGCAUAUGUUUCUAAGACGGGUAAACAUGUCAAUGCAAAGACUGUAGGCUUUGCGUGUAGUUGUACAAAAAAAUGCAUGGAACAGUUUACUGAGGAAGAAAGAAAAAGUAUGUUAACUAAUCUACUUAGCCGUACGACAAAAAAUGAACAAGAUACUUAUUUACAAGGACUAAUGGAAGCUAAACAAAUCGAGAGAAAUCGCGUGAGAAGUGCGGAAAACAACCAAGAAAGAAAAUCAAACUUUUCGUACUUUGUCUUAAAAGGCUCAAAUAGAAUUUCCGUAUGCAAAUAGGCAUUUAUAAAUCUUCAUGCCAUAUCGCACCGGCAAGUUCAGCCCCUGAACACCCUACUUUUGGCAGGUAAAUCACCAAACGAUCUUAGAGGUAGGCAUAAUAAUAGACCUCGUACAUUAUGCGAUGAAUGGACUCAAAAAAUUAAAGAACACAUUCAGGCGUUUCCGGUCAAAGUUUCACAUUAUUCCUCAAAAACCGUACGUUAUUUAGAUGCAUCUUUGACUGUAAAGAAAAUGCAUAGCCUUUUUGUCGAAAUAUAUCCAGAGUUGGAAAACUUAGUUAAAUACGAAUUCUAUUUAAAGUAUUUCCACGAAAACUUCAAUUUGAAGGUUGAUGUAUGUUCGGAAUGCGAAAAAUAUGGAACGAGGCUUAAAGAUGUUAACCUUAACGAUAACGCAAAGAGAGUGGUUGCAGCUGAACUAAUAGUUCAUAAAAGGCGGGCGAAAAAGUUUUAUAACAAAAUUAAAGAAGUGCAAACCCUUUGUACUGAACGACCAGAAGUGAUGGGACUAGCCUUUGAUUAUAUGCAAAACAUGCCACUCCCGCAUAUUUCGGUCCCGGAAAUAUUUUAUUUUAGGCAGCUCUGGGUAUUCGCAUUCCAAAUACACUACGUUAAGGAUAAUACUGGCCAUUUUUAUACUUACCAUGAAGGUCAAGGUCAAAAGGGACCUAAUAAAGUGUGUACAUUUCUUAAUGAUUAAUGAUUGAUUGAGUAUGAGAUGGCGUGCGAGUAGUUAGCAUCGUCUUCGCACACGCUCCUUGAUUUUUGUUGUUUAUGGAGUCAUUACCUAAGUUUAUUAAAUAAUUUUCAAAGUUUUGUCAUAAGUGCAGCACAGUCAAUAUUAAUUCCAAGUAGUUGGGUUAAAAUAGUUCCAGUGCAGUGAAAUAUUGGUGUUUAACUGAUUCCAAGUUGUUGUUCCUGUCCGCCAUAAUGGGAUUCUCAUCUACUGACCUGCGCGAGAUUAAAUCGCAAGUAAUAAGCAUUUUUAAUGACAAAUUUCUGCAAGAAAUUGUCGAUAAAAUAGUCUCCCGCAUUGAAAAACAGUUUGAGGAGAAGCUAAACUUAUUAAAUAAUGAUUGCUCUGUCCUGGUGAAUAGGUGUACUAUUCUGGAGGAUAGAGUCCUUGAGCUGGGACGGGAAAACAUAAAACUGCGCACCACAACAGAUUGCGUUGAACAAUCCCAACGAAACAUGAAUAUACGCAUUUUUGGGCUGCCCAUGGACGUAAACGAGAACCUGCAUUCAAAAGUAACCGAAUUGUUUACCGAACAGCUAAAAGUAAAUAUUAAUAGAUCGGAUAUAAAAAAGUGCUUCCGUGUUUUGGCCAAGGCACGCAAUGAUAGUCCUCCUGCAGUUCUCGUGAACUUCGGUAGUGAUAUGGCUCGUGUUUCGGUACUAAAAGGUCGCAAAAAUUUGAAAAACAGUAAUAUAUUUAUAAAGGAAGAUUUAACUAAAAAUCGCCUUUUUCUACUUAAUAAGGCCAUUGACUUGUUUGGUGUCAAAAACGCAUGGGUCCUGAAUGGAGUUAUUUAUACUAAAUUUAACAAUAAAGUACAUCGUAUACCUAGUGAAAGUGACUUAAUUAAAAUAAAGUCUGCUUAGCUUAAUAAUGGACAGUAAUUUAAUACGUUUUGUUAUUGUUAUCAAUACUCAGCAAUUUCGAUUUUCGUAAGAGGCCAUUCGUUUUUGCCGUGUGAUCGGGAUUUUGGCUGUGCAAAACGGAAUUUUAAAAAACAUGAUCGAAUUUACACUCCAGAAGAAUAUGAGGACUUAAUAUUGACCUCCAGGAACAAGCAGCCAUUUACUAUGAAGCAGAUCCGAUACACUGAUAUUACUAAUUUUAAGAACUAGUGGCCUGAUUACUAUAAAAAAACAUGUAGUACUCGAGGUACCGGUGCUAAGAAGGAAACGUUUGCUGUGUCAAACUAUAGGCAGUUGCUGUAUGAAAGUUCAAAUCCAGGAUAUGUUAAAACGUGGGAAUAUAUAGAUGGUUUAUACUCCCAAACUUUUAAAUUGCUCAAAGAACAUAAGCACAGCCCACCUCUGCCCAAUAAUAAGGCAUAUAAAGAACCUGUUCCGAUUAAUGAAAAAAAAAAAUCUGGACUUCAAGAAGGUUCUGACUUUUAUGGAAUUUUAUUACCACAUCACUUCAUGGAAAACUACAAACGCUGAAAAGCAUGA
rnacentral:lncRNA from 1 species